rnacentral:rRNA from 1 species
GCCUACGGGAGGCAGCAGUGGGGAAUAUUGCACAAUGGGGGAAACCCUGAUGCAGCGACGCCGCGUGAGGGAAGACGGUCCUAUGGAUUGCAAACCUCUUUUGUCGGGGAGUAAAAGACGCCACGCGUGGCGUUCCGAGAGUACCCGAAGAAAAAGCAUCGGCUAACUCCGUGCCAGCAGCCGCGGUAAUACGGAGGAUGCGAGCGUUAUCCGGAUUUAUUGGGUUUAAAGGGUGCGCAGGCGGAAGAUCAAGUCAGCGGUAAAAUUGAGAGGCUCAACCUCUUCGAGCCGUUGAAACUGGUUUU